ensembl:lncRNA
UUUGAAACUGUUAUAUGUGAUAUAUAUGGUUUAUGUGAUACAGACUUAAUAUAUUUAUUUUGUGGCAGACAGCACACAAAAGAGGAUCACUGGAACUGAGUCUGUAUUGAGCAGAAGAACACCCUCUACAUCAUUAUUACAGAAGCUUACAACAAAAACACAGUGAAAACAAUUUUACAGAAGUUGUAAAGUGCUUGAGCAAGAGGUAGACUUACCUGUGGAUAAGGAAGAAAACAUUUACACCAAUCUGCACAGGUUUUCAGCAUUACUGGAGACCCUCUGAAAUGAUAGUGGAAAUACCUGUGAAUAUGAAUGAGUUUGAGAAGAUGCUCCCACCACCAGGAUAGUUCCUCCAAGAAUGUAAUUGUAUUUCAUGCUACUGAGAAAGUACCCAUGAUGAAAACUAGCAAAGACUUCCAUGGAACGGAAUAACUAAGAAGGUGGAAAGAAGACUUUGAAGAUACACAUAUUUAUCUUCAAUAACUAUUGCAUUGUUUCAUCUCUGUUGAGGACAUACUCACAGCUGUUCUCCUCUUCAACUUUCUGUAAGUAAACUAGUAUUAUAUUUCCUUAUGUGACAUUUCCAUGAUAACACCGAACACAUAUUUUAACUGACCUUAGAAUAUCAGAUAAAUGUGAAAGUAUUGUAACCAGUUCUCUUUCAUUCAUGUGCCUCUGUUUAUUUUAUUUUUGCCAGAUAUUGUUUUCUUCUUACACAAUGUAAUAGGAAUGUGACUGUGACAAAUGCGGGUGUGCCUUUGAAUAAUUUUUCAUGUUGUACUGGGAUCUGUCCUUAAUAUGUUGUUUCUAUACUACACAUAAGGCACUGGACACAUGACUUUCAGGUCUGGAAGUGCAUCUUCACUUCUCGCCAGGCGACAGACACGUACAUGUCACCACCUGGGUUAACCUUCCAUGGAUGAGAGUAUUCCCACAACAGAGUAGUACUUCCAUUAAUAUCCCCGCUGGUUUUUAAACUGACUCCUGUAAGUCAGGUUAUUUGAGCUGAGAUACUCUUUCAGAGUUGAUGGUGUCAGUUGUUAGAGGUUGCCUGUCCUUGGGGGUGGGGGGAGAAUUGUGAGAAGCCAUUUGAUGACUAUCAGCGUGACUGUGUUAUUCCUGAAUAUCCCCGUGAAGCGGAUUGGUUCCAGCUGGACCUUAACCAAAACUGAACUAAAUAUGUGC